rnacentral:tRNA from 1 species
GCCCCCUUCGUCUAGAGGCCCAGGACGCGGCCCUCUCACGGCUGAAACAGGGGUUCGAAUCCCCUAGGGGGCGCCA